AUUGAACGCUGGCGGCAUGCCUUACACAUGCAAGUCGAACGGCAGCACGGGUGCUUGCACCUGGUGGCGAGUGGCGAACGGGUGAGUAAUACAUCGGAACGUACCUUAUCGUGGGGGAUAACGCAGCGAAAGUUGCGCUAAUACCGCAUACGCCCUGAGGGGGAAAGCGGGGGACCGUAAGGCCUCGCGCGAGUAGAGCGGCCGAUGUCUGAUUAGCUGGUUGGUGAGGUAAAAGCUAACCAAGGCGAUGAGCAGUAGCUGGUCUGAGAGGACGAUCAGCCACACUGGGACUGAGACACGGCCCAGACUCCUACGGGAGGCAGCAGUGGGGAAUUUUGGACAAUGGGGGCAACCCUGAUCCAGCAAUGCCGCGUGAGUGAAGAAGGCCUUCGGGUUGUAAAGCUCUUUUGUCAGGGAAGAAACAGCAGCUCUAACACAGUCUGCGAAUGACGGUACCUGAAGAAUAAGCACCGGCUAACUACGUGCCAGCAGCCGCGGUAA
rnacentral:rRNA from 1 species